rnacentral:tRNA from 1 species
GCGAGUUGAGUUACAAGUCUCCCGUUGCAAGGCAAGCGUGGCAUACGCAUACUGACUCUUAAUCAGUGGGUUCCGGGUUCAAGUCCCGGGGGCGCACCA